UACAUAGCACAUUCGAGGUAGACGCAGAGAACUGAAACAUCUAAGUACCUGCAGGAAGAGAAAGAAAAUUCGAUUCCCUGAGUAGCGGCGAGCGAAACGGGAAAAGCCCAAACCAACAAGCUUGCUUGUUGGGGUUGUAGGACUCCAAUAUGGUCGUUCUUUCAGAUAGUCGAAUGACUUGGAAAAGUCAGUCAAAGAGGGUAAAAACCCCGUAGACGAAAUGUGGAAGACACCUAGGAGGAUCCUGAGUACGGCGGAACACGAGAAAUUCCGUCGGAAUCCGGGAGGACCAUCUCCCAAGGCUAAAUACUCCCUAGUGACCGAUAGUGAACCAGUACCGUGAGGGAAAGGUGAAAAGCACCCCGGAAGGGGAGUGAAA
rnacentral:rRNA from 1 species